CAGAAUUUUAUCGGAGCCGGAGAAGCUGGAGACGAGAUGAUCGCGGCCACCGCUGGGACCUGCAAGGAAAAUCUAAACCGGAGUUGGGGGUGCUUCGGCAAGAUCCUCCGACGCUCAAGUUAGUACUCUGCUUCAACAGAAAUGGAGUGCUCGAGGAAAAAUUUUAGCAGAAUUUUGAGAUAGAAAUCAGAGCUUAGAGAAGAACGUAUCUGAGGGUCCUUAUUUAU
rnacentral:lncRNA from 1 species